rnacentral:rRNA from 1 species
AUUGAACGCUGGCGGCAGGCCUAACACAUGCAAGUCGAGCGGAUGAAGGGAGCUUGCUCCUGGAUUCCGCGGCGGACGGGUGAGUAAUGCCUAGGAAUCUGCCUGGUAUUGGGGUAUAACGUCCUGAAACGGGCGCUAAUACCGCCUACGUCCUGCGGGAGAAAGUGGGGGAUCUUCGGACCUCACGCUAUCAGAUGAGCCUAGGUCGGAUUAGCUAGUUGGUGGGGUGAAGGCCUGCCAAGGCGACGAUCCGUAACUGGUCUGAGAGGAUGAGCAGUCACACUGGAAGGGAGACACGGUCCAGAGUACUACGGGAGGCAGCAGUGGGGAAUAUUGGACAAUGGGCGAAAGCCUGAUCCAGCCAGGCCGCGUGUGUGAAGAAGGUCUUCGGAUUGUAAAGCCCGUUAAGUUGGGAGGAAGGGCAGUAAGUUAAGACCUAGCUGUUUUGACGUUACCAGCAGAAUAAGCACCGGCUAACUUCGUG